rnacentral:tRNA from 1 species
GCCUAGCUGGCUCACUUGGAAGAGCGUGUGACUCUUAAUCUUGGGGUCAUGAGUUUGAGUCCCAUGUUGGGUG